UUCUGCCCUAAAGGGCGGUAACUUCUGCUCCAUGUCAAAAUAAAUAGCCGCAGUAUUCUAACUGUGCUAAGGUAGCAUAAUAAUUUGUCUUUUAAUUAAAGACUGGUAUAAACGAAGAUACGACGAAAAAGCUUUUUUAAAGUGUUACAUUGAAUUUGAUAUUUGCUUCAAAAAGAGCAACUUUUUAAGAAGACGAUAAGACCCUAUGAAACUUUACCUUUUAGAUCCCCUUCAACCUAGCACAAAGAAGUUGAAUUUAAAAAGUUAAGCUGGGGCGGCAUUAAAUCAUACCUUUAUAAAAAAAACAUCAAUUAAUGACUAGUAAGAUCUUAUUUAGAGUUAGAACAAGUUACUUUAGGGAUAACAGCACAAUUCUUUCAAAGAGACCUUAUCGAAGAAAGAGACUUGUGACCUCGAUGUUGAAUUGAAGGGCCAGAUUUGUGCAGAAAUAAAUCUAGGAGGUCUGUUCGACCUUUUAUCCUUC
rnacentral:rRNA from 1 species